AUGUCCUUCUACUGUUGCACAUGCGCAUAGUCUGCUUUGCCCUGUAUUCUUUUGACUGAGCAGCAAAACAUGGAACGUGGACGUGACGUAUAAGUUUUAUAAGUUAGCGCCGCUUAGUUAGCCGCUCAACCGCAGCAGUAUCAUGCAGACGGAGGGGGCAGAGCGGACUUCACACUUGUUGAUACGUCUCCGGAACUCCGGCUUGCUAUAAAAAAACAUCACAGAUAAAUGUUCCUGGCACAGCUUGACAAAUACACAGCCAACUUAAUCAAGGUCUUCAGCAGUAGAGGAGGAGCUGCUGGAAGGAAGAUCCGAUUCCUCAUGGCUCCUACAGCUAAG